rnacentral:rRNA from 1 species
AACGUAGGAGACAAACGUUAUCCGGAGUUACUGGGCGUAAAGGGCGUGCAGGUGGUCUGUUAAGUCUGGCGUGAAAGCUCUCGGCUAAACCGGGAGAGGUCGUUGGAUACUGGCGGACUAGAGGACGGUAGAGGCGUGUGGAAUUCCGGGUGUAGUGGUGAAAUGCGCAGAUAUCAGGAGGAACACCGGUGGCGAAGGCGGGUCUCUGGGCCGUAACUGACGCUGAGGAGCGAAAGCGUGGGGAGCGAACAGG